CUGGUCUUCCCUUUCUCACAUUUCUCUUCUCUUCGCUAAAUUAAACUUGGCUAUUUCUUCAGUUACGCACAGCGCUUUCUAUUUUCAAUUUCAACUCACUGUCUAUUCCAUUAUGAAUGAAGCAGCAUCAGUUUAGAGCAAGUGCAAUAAUAUAGACUCAAGUAUCUUCUUAAUUUACCAUGGAAACCAAACUAUGAACGUCACGAAAAGUGAUCACAACACUUGUUUCUGCGCGCUGAAGCGCAUUUUUCACACGAUCAACUCUGUUGCCUUCGCAAUACCUGGACGAUAAACUUCAGAGAUUUGAGUCCCAUUAUUGGGCUGGGAUAUCUUUUUAUUGUAUUCGUACAUUUUGUUCAAAUUGUUGCUUGGUAAUCAGAAUAUCAUUACUGCCGAUUAUUGUUACUGCCCCUAUUUAGUUUGUUAAUGUAUUAGGAGACACCUGUUUUGAAAUAGUGCGUCGACUGCAAGAUGACAGCUUCGAAACCGGAUGGAAAAGAUGCUCAGGAAGCUUCCGGAGGUCUUCAGCGCAAACUCAGUACCAAAGGAGAAGGCUUGUACAGGAUGUUGAAUGUGGAGAAAGGUGCUUCCAAUGAAGAGAUCAAAAAGAGCUACAGAAAAAUGGCGCUCAAAUAUCACCCAGACAAGAACCAUGACAACCCUGAAGCUGCAGAAACGUUCAAGGAGAUUAACCGUGCACACUCGGUGCUGACAGAUGAGCAGAAGCGGGAGAUAUAUGACAAGUAUGGCAGCAGGGGACUCCACCUCAUGGACCAAAUGGGACCCGAGGCAGCCAAAGUGUACUUCGCUCUCAACAAUCCUGUCUCAAAGGCCAUCUUCAUUUUCUGCUCGAUUGUGACUGGAUGCUGGUGCUGCUGCUGUUGUUGCUGUUGCUGCAACUGCUGCUGUGGCAAGUGUAAGCCAGAAAUGCCUGACGAGGACAACCCCUUCAUGAGUAGCAGUGAUCCUGAAGAUGGUAGCAGUGAUAAGGAGAAGGAGAAGACGAAGAGUGAAGCGAGUAGUAAGAAUGUAGUCACUAGUCAGCCCUCCACAAAUGCGCUCCCAAUAAUUGUGAUAGUUGGAGCAUCGCGAAGAAAUUCCGAAAACCCAGAAGAAGAAGGCAGUGGUGAUACUUUGCAAAAUUCAGACAGCAAACAAGUCACCACCAACUCGGAAAUUUCCUCGCCGUCGGAAAAAGUUGAAGAAAACGGCGGACCUGGCAAAAACGUUGCAUCAGAGCCAAACAAAAAUACGGAAAAAGACAAGAAAGUUAAAGAUGAUACAGAAAUAGAGUCGAGCGCUUAGAAACAGAGUUUUGCGCUUUCUUGAAUUAUGAACGUAGUUGCGCAGUGGAAAGAAAAGACGCCUCUGUCGGCAGAUGCGAACUACUAUGGGAGUGGGAAUGAAGAAUAGACGCUCAAAUGUCAUCUAAGAGUCAAUGGUAUGUGUCCUCAAAUCGGCACUGGAAUAGAACAAAAUGAAAGAAGAGCAAUUAGUUCAUCUACACAGGUGAAAUCUUCACUUGAAUGGGAAAUUAAAGAAUCUGCUCAGUUUCGUGGAAAAGACUUUCGUUUCAUUCGUGCAGAUAAUUCGAUCUUUGUUCGCCAUAGACUUCAGCAGCCCAUCUGUGAAUCAAGUUUAUUUCCUGAUGUUUCAAGAGCCUCUUUAAUAAAAAUGCCCUUCUUUCGAAGUUUUUAAGGAGCGACUCGUUCAAUUUUUUGAACGAAUGUUAUUCUUAAAGCGGCGAUGUACAACUUUUGAAAACUUGAAAUUUUGAAGUGAAAAUAGAAAUAGCAGGGCAUAGCUGCAUAGUGAAAUAACAUUAAGGUUGUCAAGCCAGCGAAAGUAAAUUUUCGAAUAGCAAAUUGAAGUGAAAAGGUGCUACAAAAUGAUCAAAAUUGUAAAUGUUUCAGUAUCGAUUAUUCAUGUAAAGGUUUCUCUACAUUCCAGGAAAGGGUGGUUUCAGGGUUUUAAAACGUGUUUUUUUUUAUUUGCAUAGUCUUAUAAUUCGUCCCUGAAGCCAUCUAUAAUCAAAUUGUUUUUAUAUCAUUUGAUAUAUCGAUGCAGGUAUAUAUAUUGUUUGUAUAUGUUGGCAACUGGUAUACUUUUCGCCUGUGUUUCGGGAUCUGUUGUUGUUCAGUUUCUUAAGUUUCACUUUAUCUUUAGUUUAUUAUUUGAUCACUCGAAUGAAUUAUUUUUUCUCAAUUAGUUAGACAUAAAGUUUAAUGGAGCUAUGAAAUAUUAGAAAGAUGGAAAAUACUAUAAACAGUUUGAACAAAUUUUAUUUUCCCCUGCUUUAUGAAUGCAAUUAUUGUUUUCCUGUAAUAAAAAUGAGAUAAAUCUCA